rnacentral:rRNA from 1 species
UACGUAGGGUGCGAGCGUUGUCCGGAAUUACUGGGCGUAAAGAGCUCGUAGGUGGUUUGUCGCGUUGUUCGUGAAAACUCACGGCUUAACUGUGAGCGUGCGGGCGAUACGGGCAGACUGGAGUACUGCAGGGGAGACUGGAAUUCCUGGUGUAGCGGUGGAAUGCGCAGAUAUCAGGAGGAACACCGGUGGCGAAGGCGGGUCUCGUGGGCAGUAACUGACGCUGAGGAGCGAAAGCGUGGGGAGCGAACAGG